rnacentral:lncRNA from 1 species
GAGACACUGAGGCAAGAGCUGGGUUUCCCCCUCUCAGCACUCUUUUGGGCCAGGUAAUUCUCAACUUGGGGCCAAAGCUCCCCUGCUGUGACCUUUGGGUCUGGAGCAGCAAACAAAGCAAAGUCUUGUCCUCAGGAGCUCCCCUUGGGGAUGUCACAGAAAGUGAUGGCAAGGAUGGUGGUCACAGUCAACACAGGAGGAGGCAGGGAGGCUGGGGAGGCCGCAGUUUCAGAGAGAAAGCUCUCUCCUGGAAAGCCACUCUCCUGGUCCCACGGAAAGGGACCUCUGUGCAAACCUAAGAAUGAUGGGGCUGGGAUGGGGCCUGGUAACAUGCAUUUCCACAGACCACCCAGGGUCUGGUUCAGGGGCCACACUAGGAGAAAUAACUCACCUGGGCCUCUAAUGAGACUCUCAGAGAAAGAAAAGCCUGGACUUAGGGAAGGCAAGAGGCCCCCCCCCCCCACCAGCAAGGGGACAUGGCCACGGCCAAGGCAGAGACUCUGGGGUCAGUGACCAGCCCAUCCUCACAAUGAGGGUCCCAGUGUGGAAACACUUCCCCAACCACCACAAGCUCUGAGUCUUUGUGCUCCCCCAGUUUUGAGGCCAGGAUGUAGACUGUGAUCCUAUGUGACCUGGAGUGAGACACAAGACACUGUGCCUCCGUUUCCUCGCCUGUGAAGGCAGACAUCGCCUCCCUGGAUGGUUGUCUAAAUGUGAGGUUUGGAAACAAUGUCUGGCACACAGGACGCACCCAGUGACCACUGGGUGUCAGGAUCGUCACCAGUGCUUCUCUUGUUCUUGCCUUCCUCAUGGGGAGGAGGUGCCAGACCCUCUUCUGCAUCCUCCUGCAGGUAGGGGCCAGCGGGUCCAGGAUGAGCUCCUGGAGCUGCUCCUCCCUCCGCAGCUUCCACAUCAGUGAGCGGAUCAGACCCUUGCUGAUGACAUCGUGGGCCCCUGCACGACAGGAAAGGGCACUGAGGGUGGACCGGCCACACCCCCUCCCAUGCUGGUUGGCCUGCAGGGCUCAGGAAGGAUUUUGCAGAGCAACUUGGGCUGGUGAAUUACCAGAUCUCCGUCAAGUGCAGCAACCAGUUCGAGUUGGAAGUGCGUCUUUUGGAUGCAGAAAACAAAGUCGUGGACAACAGGGCCGGGACCCAGGGCCAGCUGAAGGUGCUGGGUGCCAACCUCUGGUGGCCGUACCUGAUGCACGAACGCCCCGCCUACCUGUACUCGUAGGAGAUCCGAGGGAAGGACUUCGACUGUCUGCUGCUGGUGAACGACUUCAACCUGCUUCGCUGGCUUGGUGCCAACACCUUCCACGCCAGCCACUAUCCCUACGCGGAGGAGAUGCUGCAGAUGUGUGA